UACGUAGGUGGCAAGCGUUGUCCGGAAUUAUUGGGCGUAAAGCGCGCGCAGGCGGCUUCUUAAGUCUGAUGUGAAAGCCCACGGCUCAACCGUGGAGGGUCAUUGGAAACUGGGGAGCUUGAGUACAGAAGAGGAGAGUGGAAUUCCAUGUGUAGCGGUGAAAUGCGUAGAUAUAUGGAGGAACACCAGUGGCGAAGGCGGCUCACUGGCCCGUAACUGACGCUCAGGCGCGAUAGCGUGGGGAUCAAACAGG
rnacentral:rRNA from 1 species